rnacentral:rRNA from 1 species
CCUACGGGCGGCAGCGGUGAGGAAUCUUGGUCAAUGGACGGAAGCCUGAACCAGCCAAGUCGCGUGAGGGAAUAAGGCUCUACGGGUCGUAAACCUCUUUUGCCGGGGAGAAAGGGCGGGGACGUGUCCCGGCCCGGAGGGUACCCGGAGUAAAAGCAUCGGCUAACUCCGGGCCAGCAGCCGCGGUAAUACGGAGGAUGCGAGCGGUCUCCGGAUUUAUUUGGGUUAAAGGGUGCGUAGGCGGGCUAUUAAGUCUGGAGUGAAAGGUACCGGCUCAACCGGUACAGGCUUUGGAAACUGGCGGGCUAGAGAGCAGGGUAGGGCGGUGGAACUCCAUGUGUAGCGGUAAAAUGCGUAGAUAUAUGGAAGAACACCAGUGGCGAAGGCGGCCGCCUGGCCUGUUGACUGACGCUGAGGCACGAAAGCGUGGGGAGCAAAUAGGAUUAGAUACCCGGGUAGUC